CCUACUACUAUUCCCCUAUUCAAAAUAAAAAUGUCGUUUCCAAGGGUGCUCCCCCAUCACGCUUGCGCCCAUGCAAAUUCCUGUAGCCGGCAAAAAUUGAUUUCGUGUAUUGGGAGUACUGCAAUGCAUCAUCUACAUAUAAACCCUCACACAAUCAGAAUCUCUCAUCUAGCAUAUUGCUCAACCAUUCCAAAACAUGUUGCAAAACUCCCAUUCACCUUAAUCGUGAAAAAAAAAUUUCAAUUUCCUGGUAGAAUGUCUCGCAAAACAGAUUUCGUAUGCGAUAUAGAUGAUUCCAAAGAAAUCUGGCGUCUUGCUGUUCGUAACAAUGACCUGUGGAGCGUCGUCAAUAGCAAAGGGUUUAUGUUAGGAAGCAAGAUGCAGAGCAAUGGAUGGAAGAUUACUGUUAAUGAAUCUAAGCUAGAGAUUCAUCUUUUGUGAACAUCUGCGCUGGAUCUGUGUUGGGGCAAUGCAUUUCCGGCGGCGACUUUUCAUGAUGUGUUAUAUCAAUUUCCAUGUCUGCUGUGUCAUGAGUGCACUUCUGCCUCCUUGCGGUUAGCGUAUCAUGAACUGAUCGCCGCAUAUGAUUCAGUUUGGCUCAAGUGGUAGUUUUAUAUCUGUUGGAAUUUCGAAUCGAUCAAACUCAUGCAGGUGUGAGUCUGUAGCAUAGUUUUGUUCUGCACGGGUAAGUUUUUUUUCCGAAUCUGUUACUGCAACAGUGUUGUUUGGCUACAUUGUUGUUUCCAAAUCUGUUACUACAACAGUUUUUUAAAUUAUUCUAUAUAUUUUAAUGUCAAUUUUUAUUUAUUACUUAAAUCACAUUGCAAAGGUAUUCCAUGCUCAAAUCACUACACGUAUACUUGAUGUUAUUUGAUAAUUCUUCCAUAACUACAUCCUUGCUCUUUCAACAUCCCCUUCAACUUCAUAACCUAAAGACAACACAAUAGAACUAACAGUAAGUUUUUUCUUCUUUAUUUAUUCUAUUGAAUUCAGUAAAAUGAGACAGGGUUAUGUAACUAACCGUGAGUUUUCUGAGUAUGAUAAAAUUGAUAUGAGAAUUCUUCCUUGAUUCCAAAUCAGACAACAACUAUUUCAAAUCAGACUUGGUCACUCUACUAAGAUUGAAGAGGUAAUUUUGUGUUAAUACAUGUGUUGAAUGCCAACAAAUUCAAGGAUAUAAUAAAUAAUAAUGCUUAUUAUCUUCUUGCGAAUGAGAUCAUUGAUCGUCAUUGCUUCAAUAAAUUUCUAAUCUAUUGAUCGUCGGAACUUAUCUUCUUGCGAAUGAGAUCAUUGAUCGUCAUUGCUUCAAUAAAUUUCUAAUCUAUUGAUCGUCGGAACUUUUUGUACAUGUAAGACAAUUCCAUACAUUUGAUAUAUCUCAUAAUAUUUCCUCUACAGAUUAUGUAUAAGUGCCUUUGGUAAGUUGAUUGACGAUUUCAUUCGGACUGAAUAGAGGUCGUAUGAUUUUUUAUCGAAAAAUGCAGUGCUUUUAAUUUUUCCUUUCACCUUGCUUUCAAUCCAACAUUAGAGUGUGUUUCACCUAUUCUACCUCUUUAGUUGAACAUUUUCAAUCAAAUUAUUGGUACAUCUUAAAAUUUCAUUUUUAUUUGAGUUAUCCUUUGGACAGUGUUUCAGUCCAAGCUUAACUCAGCCUAACCAUAGUCAGUUUUAUAUUUUUGAGAAAUAAUAGUAAUUAUAAUUGCAUGUAUAUAUGAUAAUUGCAUGUAUAUAAGGAUUAUGUGUCCGUUCUGUGUAUAUCUGCACCGGAUUGAAAGUCGCCUGCUACUGGUUUUGGCUUCGGACAGGUAUUUGGUAUAUCUGCGUAAUUGGAUUUGAAUUUGGAGUUGCUGUACAAAAGCUUGGGGCUAGAGGAUUUAAAGUUGAGCUAAAGCUAAAAUUCUGUUUCUGGGGAUUUAGGCGCUGUGCGAGUUCAAAUAGGUUAUGUUGACUUAUUUUUCUGGUGUGUUAGGUGUUUUGCCCGCAUAUAAUCUCAGAUUUCUCUUGCAUCGGUGUGGUCAGACGGCAUUUUUUGAUCUGUUUAAAAUUUCAGGAAUCAAUUAGGGUAUUUCUGCUAAGAAUUUUUUUUUAUUAAUCUGUUAGAAUGAUUGAUUGUAAAGAGGGUUGUCUGAAAUUGAUGUGCUUGAGUUUUGUCAAUGUAAUGGGGUUGGAAGUUUGGCGUAGUCUGUAUGUAUUUAAACUUAAUGUGACAGAAUUAAUUAUAUGAGAAAUAAAGAGGCUGAAUCAAUUUUUAGAAUGGAUAUUUUAUAAUCUUUGAAC